UUCGUAGGCGGUGUGGCAAGUUGGGAGUGAAAUCUCUGGGCUUAACCCAGAGGCUGCUUCCAAAACUGCUGUGCUUGAGUGUGGGAGAGGCGCGUGGAAUUGCAGGUGUAGCGGUGAAAUGCGUAGAUAUCUGCAGGAACACCCGUGGCGAAAGCGGCGCGCUGGACCACAACUGACGCUGAGGAACGAAAGCUAGGGGAGCAAACAGGAUUAGAUACCCUGGUAGUCCUAGCCCUAAACGAUCAGGACUUGGGGUGCCGCCCGUUCGGGCGUCGUCCCGGAGCUAACGCGUUAAGUCCUGCACCUGGGGAGUACGGUCGCAAGACUGAA
rnacentral:rRNA from 1 species